rnacentral:tRNA from 1 species
CAGGCUGUAGUUUAAAAAAAUAGUAAGGUGCAAAUUUAUAGAUGAGAAAUUCUAUCUCCAGUCUGG